AGAAAUGUCCAGAUCAACUAACCCAUGUCAGCUAAUGUUUUUUUGGAUAGGUUUUUUUGGCCCAUAGAAUUUGUUGUAAUGUUUGAGUCACUCAAAUAUUACACGAAUACAUAUUAGACAUGGCAAAAAUGUAUAGAAUUGCAAUAAAAUUACCUUUAAAACUGCACAAUGUUCUCUGCACCCUAUGACAAAAUGUGUAUGUCACGCCCUGACCUUAGAGAUCCUUUUUAUGUCUCAAUUUUGGUUUGGUCAGGGCGUGAGUUGGGGUGGGCAUUCUAUGUUUUGUUCUACCUUGUCCUUUUCUAUGUGUUUGGCCUGGUAUGGUUCCCAAUCAGAGGCAGCUGUCAAUCAUUGUCUCUGAUUGAGAACCAUACUUAGGUAGCCUGUUCCCACCUGUGUUGGUGGGUAGUUGUUUUGUGUUUUGUGUAUUGCACCUUGUAGAACUGUUCGUUUGUCGUUUUGUUGUUUUUGUUCAAGUGUUCAUAUUUAUUAAAAGUAUUAUCAAUACUUACCACGCUGCACCUUGGUCCUCUUCUCCUUCUCCCGACGAUGUUCGUUAUAGUGUAGAAUUGCAGGAAAUAAGCGUUGGAAUUUCCACAAUGCUGGAAGGGGGGCCUAAGUGGAAAAAGUUUGGGAACCUCUGUGCUAAAUGACCAAAAUGUAAGUAUGAAAAAAUUGAAAUUUGCAUAGGGCUUUUGAGGGCUUUUAUUCCCUCAAACUAUUUGAAUUUUGAUAAAAUUUGGCCUUGUUUAGAAUAAUACCCAGGAGCGUGCAUUGCAUGAAAUAAUUUUUACAUUUUGGUCAUUUAGUAGGUACUCUUAUCCAGAGUGACUUACAGUCAGUGUAUUAAACAUAGGUAAACAAGAAUAUACCGGUCAUAGCAAGUAAAAAUAUUGUUGCCAUUACUGAGAACGUUUUAGUUAAGUGGGCUACUUAAGUAUAUAAUUGUAUUAGAAAAUACAAAAUACGUGUAUUCUAAUUCUGUUACAAAAUAGGCCAAGUGAAUUGUAGUUCAGGCCAGUGAAAUACAAAUGACAAAAUAGGUAUUGAACGUAAUGAAGUACAUCAAAUACAUGUAACAGAAAUACUGCCUGCCAUUGGCACAAGCUACCUGCACUGUAAAUCUGCAACAGUUUAACACUGUGCUUCCAGUAAUGCACAAUAAAUCCUACAUUUACAUUUGAGUCAUUUAGCACAGUGGCACAGUGAAUGUGCAAUUUCGAAAUUAGAUAGUGCAUCAUCAGUUCCUCUUGUCAUGUUAGUCAUUGCUUAACUUAGAAAGCUAUUUAUUACUUGUCAGAAAUGUCCAGAUCAACUAGCCCAUGUCAGUUAAUCUUUUUUAGGUCGUUUCUUUUUAGCCCAUAGAUAGUGGUCAUUUUUUUGUCACUCAUUAGACAUGGCAAAAUAUAUAGAAUUGCAAGAAAAUUUGCUUUAAAACUGCAAAAUGUUGUUUGCACCCCAUGACAAGUAUGUACAAUUGCAUGAAAUAAACUUUAAAACUGCAAAAGUCUAUCCACCAACAAAAGGGGUGUGAACAGUUUGUGUCAUGAACAGUGCUUGUGCCCAUAGAAAUAGACAUGGUGCGUGUGCGCGCCUGCAGGGGUGGUACGGGAUGUUCCCCAAUGCCCGAAGGCGGGCCCCGAGUGAAAACCUAUGGGAAUCCCUGCUUUAGCAGAUGCUCUUAUCCAGAGUGACUUACAGAUAGUGAAUUCAUCUUAAGACCGCUAGCUGGGACAACCACAUAUCACAGUCAUAGUAAGUACAUUUUUCCUCAAUAUAUAGCGAUCAGCAAGGUCAGAGCUAGUAAGGGGGGGAAGUAAAGUGUCAAUGUUAGUUCACAUAAUCUUUUUAUUUAUUUUUAUUUGGGGGGGAAAUGUGGUACGGGUGGGGUAUUUAAGAUUCUCAUUGAAGAGGUAGAGUUUCAAAUGUUAUCGGAAGAUGGGCAGGGACUCUGCUAUCCUAGCUUCAGGGGGAAGCUGGUUCCACCAUUGGGGUGCCAAGACAGAGAAGAGCUUGGACUGGGCCGAGCGGGAGCUGCCCUCCCGUAGGAGUGGAAGAGUCAAAAGACCAGAAGGGAUUGCUCGGUUUGGGGUGUAGGGUUUGAGCAUAGCCUGAAGGUAGGGAGGGGCAGUUCCUCUUGCUGCUCCCUAGGCAAGUAGCAUGGUCUUGUAGUGGAUGUGAGCUUCAACUGGAAGUCAGUGGAGUGUGCAGAAGAGCAUGGUGACAUGGGAGAACUUUGGAAGGCUGAACACCAGGUGGGCGGCAGUGUUCUGGAUAAGUUGCAGGGGUUUGAUGGCACAAGUGGGGAGCCCAGCCAAAAGCGAGUUGCAGUAGACCAGAGUCCAGACGGGAGAUGACAAGCGCCUGGAGUACAAAAAAGUAUGAAUGUAUGUACUUGUAAGUCGCCCUGGAUAAGAGCGUCUGCUAAAUGACUUAAAUGUAAUGUAAAUGUACGACCUGCGCAGCUUCCUGUGUGAGGUAGGGUCAUAUUUUACGGAUGUUGUAGAGCACAUGUCAAACUCAUUCCAUGGAGGGUUGAGUGUCUGCAUGUUCUCUCCUCCCUUGUACUCGAUUUGAUGAAUUAAGGUCACUAGUUAGUAAGGAACUCCCCUCACCUGGUUGUCUAGGUCUUAUAACCAGCAGACACUCAGCCCUCCAUGGAAUGAGUUUGACACCUCUGUUGUAGAGCAUGAACCUGCAGGAGGGAGUCACUGCUUUGAUGUAUGCAGAGAAUGACAGCGUGUUGUCAGGGGUCAAACCAAGGUUCUUUACAAUCUAGGAGGGUAAAGUUGUCAACCGUGAUGGAAAUACAGAAUGUUGCUGUAGUCAGAUAUUCCAGUAAUAUGCUGUAUAUUUGUGUUGCAGUAAAGGUUCUGUAAAUCUACAGUAAUUUACUAGCUUCUGUGCUGCCAGUAAUUUACUGUACAUUUACAGUAAUCUACUGUGCUGCUAGGAAUUUACUGUAAAAGAAUACAGGAUUUUUUUUUAACAGUGUGGUCUUUGCUAUACAUGAGUAAUACACUACUGUUAGAUUCAGGCCUUUACAACUUUAUUAGAAACCCUUUACAAAAAAGGCUUUAAGGAAUGUCUUCAUUCAGUAGAGUCUAAACAACAGCAGUAUCCUGUGAAGGAGAGCAAAGCCAAUUGAAACAAAUGCAGCAGGCAUAUGCCUAAGGAGGCAGAGGCUAAUAGCAAAAGCAGUUAGUACUGGAGAGGGGAUAUUAUGAUAAAAUAUGAAGCAAAUGUGUGACUACAGAUGUGUGACUGGAGAGUGAAGACGCUGUGUGUUAUCCCUGUGGUCAGGCUCUCUCCAUCAUUAUCAACACCAACACUGUAAGAGCUCUGCCUGGACAAUUUAUUUCACCUUGAGGAGCUCCUUAAUAUAUCCUCAAUAUCACUGGUCAGGAACCGUCUACUGUAUCACUUGUAAGGUUCCCCAUCAGGACCGACCAGGAACUUCUCAAAGUUCCAGGAGAUGUCAUUCCUGCAGACAAGGCUCCACAUGAUGAAUUUUAGGUCGCCCAUGAAUACCAUGGAGUCAUCGCUGGGGAAUGGCAUCUUCUCCUUGAGCUACACAAACAGGGGGUGGGCCUCUUCCCCAUUCACAUCAGUGGGAAUUUUGGCUCAAAUCCAUUUCCUGGACCUAUAUACUACAGGAACCUAAGGAUCUCAUCGCUCUUACAAUUCUCCUGUUUAGACAGAAUCAAAAUCCUUAAAUAGUCAAUCAGUUUAAGCAAUUAUCUUAAUUGAAGAAUGUUAGCAAGACCAGAAAAACAACAUUUUGUGUUUAAUGAGUCCCAGAAGUAUCACACAGACAGAGUUUCACAAUGGUGCUUAUCACCAUGGAAUGCGUAACCAAUCUACAAUGUUGCAACAACUUGGCCAAACUACCUUUGAACUCUGUCUGAUAGUUGACCAUGACUUGACCACUACGUUUCAAAUAUGCAAAGAAAGCAUGGUCUGCAAUCUUUAAAUCUAAUUUCUUAAUGGUCAUGAACAGACAAAAUCAUGUUUUUCAUGAAAUUGAAUGAUAUAUGUGUAACGCUCGUCGAAAGGAGUGGACCAAAGCGUGGAAAGUGUUCAUGAUUUUAUUUAUCAAAAAACACUCAAACAAAAAUGACAAAGCGAAAACGAAAGCGAACAGUUCUGUCAGGUACAGACACUAAACAGAAAACAAGACCCCACAAAACCCAAAAGGAAAAUGACAACUUAUAUAUGAUCCCCAGUCAGGGACAACGAUAGACAGCUGCCCCUGAUUGGGAAUCACCCACACCAACAUAGAAAUAAGGAAACUAGAAUGCCCACCCUAGUCACACCCUGACCUAACCAAAAUAGAGAAUAAAAACCUCUCUACGGCCAGGGCAUGACAAUAUGUAUGAAACCAGAUAAAAGUAUGAUCACCAAAGUAUGAAAAAUUACUUUUGCUUCUACAUUGAUAAAGUUUGAUCAUAAAGUUAUUAGUUGCCUCCCCCAUGUCAAAUCCUUGGAUUGACAAGGCGGGAUUAUUAAGGGGAUAGGGUGACAUUACCCUAACUCACGUUUUUAAUACCCCAAUGGUAACAUGAUAUUCUCUUAUCUAAUUUAAAUAAGUAUCGCCUUGUAACCGACAUCGGAGAAGGUAUGUUUGCGGAGGGGCAGGGUUUACAUAACGAAAUAGCUACUCUACUGGUGCCAAAAUGUAGGGUGUCAGAAAAUAUAAUAAAAAGUUUAUACUAUUCAUCUAUGGCAAAGAUACUUAUGUUGCCCCUUUCAUCUGUGUCUGGUGUUAGCUAGUUACUGGCUAGCUAGAUCUUCAGCUAGAAUGGAACAAAAAGGGGGGGACAGUGGCGGUUCUAGACCAUUUCAACUGGGGGGGCCAAGCUGGGGCCAGUUGUACUGUUAGAGGGGCCAGUUACAUUAGACGUUAUUGUUGUCAUCGUUUUCUUCACUGCAUUGCAGGCAUUAGCAGGCAAAAGACCAUGUUCAUAAUCAUCAUCGUUGCCACUGUCUAAUAACAGAUGUAAAAUAAGAACAAUAGCAAAAAUUAGUUAUGUAAAAAUUAUUUCAUACUCCACAUUUAGGGGGGCCACAAGGGGGUCCAAAAUUGUUGUCACAGGGGCACUGUGAUGCAGUUGUCGUGUUGUCAUCCGUCACUGCUGCUGUGAUCCGCAUAUGCCAAACAGGUGAUGUAUUAAAAAGAUUGACAUCAUUGAUGCAAUUUCAAUGUUACUUGAAUUGCUUUCUGUAUCACCAAAAUAGCUUGAGAUGAUUUUAAUGCAACACUUCAUCCAAGUUUCUUGACAUAGGUGUUUCAAAGAGCUGUCAGUCAAGGUGAGUUUAUGAAUAUAAGCUCCCUGCCCACUCAGCCUGUCUUUUCAAACUUCCUGGUAGUUAGCCAUGACAGAAAAAUGAUUUCUAUCCUCAAAAAAUAUUACACGUGUGAUAUUUCAGUCACUCAAAAGGCUAUUUUACAUGGGAAUUCGAAUGACUGACUGUUCAAGACCUUUUAAAGAAAAAUAAAGUGAAUGUCUACCUGAUGGCCAAACCGGUUCCUGGGCACCCCCAGAAACAAGAGCCCCUGUUCGGAAUACUGCGAAUAGAAUACAUUACAUUACAUGAUGACCAAACGGGAUCCUUGUGUGUGCCCUCAUGCACAUGUUGAUUUUGUCUAUCACCACCAGAUGCGUUCAUGACACAGGUUAUAAUACCAAAACCAACUGUGGACCAACUAUAUUAAUUUGGGGAGAGGUCAAAACACGUUAAACAUUCAUGGACAUUUAGCUCGCUUGCCGUUGCUAGGUCAUUUGUCCUGGGAGAGAAACAUUGGGUUAUUUUACCUGAAACGCAUAUAGUCCUUUUUUUGGGGAUCUUUGUAGAAUUUAUAUUGAUUUUCAGUCACACAAAAUCAUGUGUUCUCUACUCUGACAAUUAAUCCACAGAUAAAAAGGGAAACCUAGUUUAUUUUUUCUUUGAUUAAUCCCUCCUCAUUCAUUCUUCUUCUUCUGUGGAAUUUUUAUGGCGUUUGACAACCAACUUCAAUGUGCAAUAGUGUAGCCGACUGGAGUGUAGACCUCAUUCGUCUUUCAAUCACCCACGUGGGUAUAUACUCCUAAAAACCAAUGAUUAAAUGGGAGAGGCGGGACUUGCAACGCAUCACGUAUCUAAAAUAGAACCAAGUUCUAUUUUAGCGCCUGGCUACACAGAAGCCCGUUGACGGGUGCAAGCAGUUUGGAUGAAAUGAUUGAAUAACAUGUAGGGUAUCUAGCUACGUUUUUAAGAGAGAGCUUUGAAAUUGGCACCUCUCCCCCCUGCAGGUUAAUAAUAAUACUUUGAGUCCGGUGGUUUGAAAGAAACUGGCUUGUCUUAAGAUGAGAACAUACGAAGAAAACAGACCGUGGAAACUAUGGCUCUGAUGUGAUACAGCAUGCCCUGAAGGCAAUGGAAUAUUGGCAGACCUUAAAUGGGGCUUCCAGGGUGUUCAACAUUCCACCAAGAACCCUACGGCACCACAGAGGAAAGGAGGUGAAAAACCCAGGCUUCAGCCAAAUGGGUGGGGCGCCAGUCUUCUCUUCCACAUCUGAAAGUGACCUUGUCAAUCCCAUUCAACAAAUGGAAAGAGCCCUAUUUGGCCUAAUAUCCUUGGACGUGAGAAGACUUGCCUUUGAUCUGGCAGAGAGAAUGGGAAUUAAGCACAGGCUCAACAAAGGAAAGGGUUAUGCAGGGGUGGAUUGGUUCAGUGGCUUCAUGAAGCACAACCCUCAACUGUCAGUAAAAGUAUCGCAAGCAACCAGUCUUGUGAGGGCCGUGGGCUUCAAUAAGCUUAAGGUUGACCAGUUUUUUUAAGGCCUGCAAGGAUGUUUUAAACAGCGUCAGGAACUUCAGGCCAACGAAGAUUUGGUACAAGGAUGAGAUGGGAAUACAAAACGUCCAGAAACCGUUGCCUGUGGUGGCCACCAAGGGAGCAAAUCAGGUUGCAUGGAUGAACAGUGCAGAGGGGCUUCAUAGUCACAGUAAUUUGUGCUAUCAGUGCAGAGAGGCAAUACGUACCACCCCUCUUCAUCUUCCUCCCGGAAGAGGAUCAGCUGCUGGUUGGAGCACCUCCAGGGUCCGUUGGAAGGAGUGACUCAGGCUGGGUUGACAGUACCAUCUUUGUCGACUGGCUCCACCACUUCGCCCACAGUGUUGGUUGCACCCCUGAGGAACCCCAUAUCCUCAUCCUUGAUGGGCACCACUCCCAUAAGACCCUGGAGGCUGUUCUGACACAAGUGUUAUCACUCUGCCACCCCACUGCAGCCACAAGAUGCAUCUGUUAGACCGUACCGUCUUCAACGGUCUGAAGGCCUUUUACAACAGGGCAGCAGAUCAAUGGAUGAUGACGCUUCCUGGGAAAAGGAUAGGUAUAUACCAAAUGCCUCAUCACAAAGGCCUAUAACAAGGUGGCCAGUGUGGAGAGAGGAGUGGAGAGCUUCUGGGCAAGUGGGCUGUGGCCUUUGGAGAAGUACAUCUUCACAGAGGCGGACUUCGUGGCCGCUGAGCUUAUAUAGAAGCCUGAACCCAUUGCUGGGAAGAAAAAGUAAUCUAAGGUAGCAAAAGCAGUAUGUACGUGGUAGAACGUGUUUAUUGUACUAACACCGAUGUAUUGUUUUUGUCGUUUUAUUUUCAAUGCAAAGAAUCCAUUCAACCACAGUGCAAUACUGCCACCUUUACCGAUGCGGCUACCAGCUCUACCGCCACCAUCUCUAGCUCUACCUCCACCGCCACCAGCUCUAACGCCAGAACCUCUACCUCCACCACAUCAACCUCCGCCACAACCUCCACCCUGCAGCCUACCCUUGCUCCAAAUGUUGCUGCAGCAGUUCUAUUGGAGUUAUGCCAAGGCUCCACGAGGCGAGGCAGAGGAAGAGGAAGGCAGAGUCUGCGGCUGUGCUGAUAGCCUCACCUUACAAAAGGUUGCUGGAGGAAAAGGCUCGACAGAAGCAUCAAAAAGAAGAAAGAAAGAGAGAGAGAGUAAGAAAACGAAUCAAGUUCUUCAAAGAAAGGUUGCCUUAAAGAAGCUUGUUGCAACACAACAAGCCACAUCAGUCACCAAAGGGGAUGCAGAGUGUAUUUUCUGUGAGGAGCUAUUUUCAGCCACAGGUGGGGACUGGAUUAGGUGUGAGCAGUACAGGAGGUGGGCUCAUGAGUUGUGCUCCAAUUAAA